rnacentral:rRNA from 1 species
AUUGAACGCUGGCGGCAGGCCUAACACAUGCAAGUCGAACGGCAGCACAGAAGAGCUUGCUCUUUGGGUGGCGAGUGGCGGACGGGUGAGUAAUGUCUGGGAAACUGCCCGAUGGAGGGGGAUAACUACUGGAAACGGUAGCUAAUACCGCAUAACGUCGCAAGACCAAAGUGGGGGACCUUCGGGCCUCACACCAUCGGAUGUGCUCAGAUGGGAUUAGCUAGUAGGUGGGGUAAUGGCUCACCUAGGCGACGAUCCCUAGCUGGUCCGAGAGGAUGACCAGCCACACUGGAACUGGGACACGGUCCAGACUCCUACGGGAGGCAGCAGUGGGGAAUAUUGCACAAUGGGCGCAAGCCUGAUGCAGCCAUGCCGCGUGUAUGAAGAAGGCCUUCGGGUUGUAAAGUACUUUCAGCGGGGAGGAAGGCGGUGAGGUUAAAAACCUUGCCGAUUGACGUUACCCGCAGAAGAAGCACCGGCUAACUCCGUGCCAGCCGCCGCAGUAA